UUGUCGAACUUCGUUGGUUUGUUUACACUCUGCGGUCUAUCUUGUAGCCUUGUAAUUAGAAGCAACUUUGUUUUGGUUUCGGUUUUUUCCUGUUUCUUGCUUUUUUGGUGCAAAAUCAGUUGUAAGACCCUCAACAUGAUGUUCGUUUGGGAUUGGGAUUGUAACUAUCCUUCCAGUGACGACGAUUUUGAAGAAAAUUUGCUUCAGAUGCUCAGCGAUUCCGAUUAUUCUGUUUCCAGUGAUGACGAAUUUGAAGAAACGCCAGUUCAGAUGUCCAGUGGGUCGGGUUAUAUUCCUUCCAGUCAUAAUCAGUCUGAAGCAACAUUAGUUCAGAGGACAGAGAGAGAGAAGGAAGACGAUGAUUUCAGUCAGUCUAAAGGAACAUUAGCUCAGAAUAGUAAGAGACAGAAGGAAGAAGAUUUUAUGGUUCAGUCUGAAGCAACGUCAGUUCAGAGGAGUAAAAGACAGAAGAAAGAUGAUUAUUUCGAUCUCGUGGUGCCGCAGUAUAGUGAUGCCGUGUUUUUGGAACAUUUCCGUGUGCGACGCCACAUUGCAGAGUACAUUGCUGAGAAGUACAGAAAUUCUGCUUAUUACAACCAUCAAGCGGGUGGGAAUGGAAAACUGAUCCCCUUACAACAGAUCCUAAUUUUUUUGUGGUUUGCUGGACAUGAAACAGACACAUUCAGAAAUGUGUCAGAGAGGUUCAGCAUCUCUGCUAGUACUCUGUGCAACAUUGUGAAAAGGGUGUCACACUUCAUUAGCAAUGAAUACGUUGGUGUAAUAAAGUGGCCGUCUGCUGCAGAAAAAGCAGGCAUAGAAUCGUACUUCCGGUCAAACGGUUUGCCAGGUGUGGUUGGCGCCAUCGGCGGUACUCAUAUUAAGAUUGAUAAACCUCAAAGCGACCCCUAUUCAUAUUUGAACACGAAACGUUAUUAUUCUAUUCAAUUGCAGAUCGUUUCCGACCACGAGCUGCGUAUAAGGGACAUAUUCGUGGGUUACCCGGGGUCAGUCGAUGACGAGACAGUGUUCAGAAAAUCACCAUUGUUUAAAAAGCUCGGAGACAUUUGCAGCGAGUUAUGUAUUGUGGGAGACGUCGCGUACCCAUGCAUUAAGCAUUUGCUGACUCCUUACAGAAACACCGGGCACUUAACCAGACAGCAAAAUGAUUUCAAUCUUGUGCUUUCGAGAAGUACGAGUGUUGUUGAACAUUGUUUCCGUGUAUUAAAGGAGCGUUUUAAGCAAUUGUUUUAUAUUAAGUUAAGGAACAUUGAAGACAUAGUUCAUUUUAUUCGAGCUUGCUGCAUACUGCACAAUAUCGCCUUGAAAGACGCCUUUGUAUUUGAAGGAAACGAAGGUAUUCUGGAACAACCCCCUCACGAACCAAGGACCUUGCUGUUGGUGGGGUGGUUUGCUUGUCUCAGCAAUACCAAUAGCCGUGCCAUAGGGUCUCUGUUGACAGGCCACAUGAAAGUGUGGUCCAUGAAGAGGGGCAGCAGCCUUUUCAGUAGUUGCACAAGUAACAGUCUGGAUGUGUGACGGAUCUGGCCUUGUAACAUCAGCCAGAACGCCUGGUAUUGUGAAUGGCUGAAAGCAGGAGAAAACUACAGCCAUAAUUUUUUCCGAGGCAUGCAGCUACUGUAUGGUUAAAUGACGACGGAAUCUUCUUGGGUAAAAUAGUCCCCCAUUUGGAUCUCCGGGUGGGGCUACUCACAAGGAUGUCGUCAUCAGGAGAAAGAAAGCUGACAUUCUAUGGACUGGAGUGUGGAAUGUUAGAUCUCUUAUUCGGACAGGUGAACACGAUAAAGACGCUACAGGAGAAGAAGAAUCAGCUGAUAUCCGACAUGACGAACUAGGGGCGGAAAAGAGGGACACGAUUGCUGCACAGUUGCUAAUAUCGUACGAAGAAGAAUCGGAUGAUCUGAACAUCGGAGAUGAUAAACUGGGGCUGGAAAACAGGGACAGGAUUGCCACGCAGUUGCUAAUUCAAGCUGAAGAAGAAGCAGUUGACCCUGAUGACCGAGGGCUGGAAGAGAGAGAUACAAUUGCUGCACAAUUGCUGUUGUAAAAGGAGUCCCAGAUACCCCAUCACCACCCACACAUUAGAAAAUGCCCAGAAAGAUUAUACUCCUGAUACUGGUAUCUCUCUCCAGAAUGCAUUUAGUUACAUCAGCUUCCCUGUAUAAGUUUGAUAAAAUGGAACUGAACUGUGAUAUGUAAAACUACAAGUUUGAAGGACAUUUUUUGUGUUGCCACUAGGUCUGUGGUUUAAAAAAAUAUUCACAAAGACUGGAGUGUUCAGCUCCUUGGUGUCAAGCUCUGCAAAGUUGUGACAUAUUAUUUAGACACUGAACACUGUCAGUGCCAAACUUAAUAAGUAUUACUGGAGAGCAGAAAAGUGUGUGUGUCUAAAACUAAGUACCUGCAUAUCUAGUCUUUCAUCUGUUAGGACUGAAACAAAAAUUUUGUUUUUUGCUUUCAGUUACAGGAACUCAUUACAGCCUCAAUUUGCUGCUCUUAAUUUCUGAGCUCUUAUGUCGGUGUUAAAAAUGUAUUGCAGUUACUAAGGAGAAGUGUUUUAAACUUUUCGUUUGUAGUAAAAACUGCUCAAGACUGAUACUGUAGCUUUUUAUGAUUUUCAUAUUGAAAGAGGGAUAUACCUUAUUACAGUUCUUUUUUCUGUAAACACCUACGUUUGUGAGCAGUGAAGUGUGUCUAAAACUAAGUACGUGUGUACAUAGUUUUUCACUUGUUAGAAGUGAAAUGAAAAGUUUUUCUUUUACAUUGAGGUACAGGAACUCAUUACAAACUUGAUUUGUUGUCCUAAUUUCUGAGCAUUCCUCUCCCUUUGUCCCCUCCUCCUCCCAAAUUACUAAACAGAACUGUUUGUAAACUGUUCACAUGUGGAAGAACCUGCAAGACUGAUAAUGAAGCUUUAAAUGAUGGGAAAUGAAAUUGUCUCUGCUUCAGUUGCCACUUUUAUACAUUGUUAGGUCUGUGCUCUGGACAAACAUUUGCAAAGGCUGGAGUAUUUAGCUUGUUAGUGUAAAGCUCUGCAAAGUUGUAAAAUUAUGCCAUUUAGACUCUGACUUAAAGGUCUUACAGGAGAAGCAUGGAAGCACUAACCUGCUUGCGUGCAGUUACGUAUGUAUCCAGAACAAAGUACCUGUAUAUCUAGUUUUUUCUCUGUUAGAAGUGAAAUGAAAAUUUUAAUCUUUUUGCAUUGAGUUGAAGGAACUCAUUGCAGCCUUGACUAGCUGCUCUUAAUUUCAGAGCAGUGAUGUCAAUGUUAAAAAUGUUUUGAUAUAACUAAGCAGAAGUAUUUGAAAUCCUUUAUUUGUAGAAGAAGGUGUAAGAUGGAGAAUUAAGUUUUUUUAAUUAGAAAUAAAACAUUUUGUGUCUGUUACAUAUGAUUCAGAUUUAAAGAA